rnacentral:lncRNA from 1 species
AGUCCCCGCGUCAGAAACGCUGCGGAUGCCAGGUCUUGAAAAUGCUGACUUCUGAGGCUAAGAAUUAUUUCAAAGACAAAAAGAAAAGACUGGUGAGGAGGCCUUCCGGUGCAAGGGCGCCUAUCCGCUAAUUUUGGAUGGGGAAGAGCAGCCGGCGGAGCUCGGGUGGAGGAAAGCGAGGAGGCGACCAGGAGGAUGCCGCCGCCGCCGCCGCAGGGCCCGGGGCUUCUGCAGGGCGCAAGGCCUCCCUCACCAGGGUAAGGGGCUGGCGAUCAACCUGGACGCCUGGGACCUUGGGAGCAAGCAUCCCGCAGCCGAGCAGGCGACGGCGCGGCCACCGCCUAGAGAGGAGCCGGGGCCCGGGGCGGCGUGCGGGUCGGCAGCAGCCGGCUUGGCCUAUCCGAAACCCCAGGCCUGGAAGCGGCUGCUUUAGGCGUCAAGUUGAGCGGGGUAUGUGUGUCCUCUUGGGAAAAAGGUGAGAAAUGGAGCCGGACUUUCUCCACUCGGUAGGGGUUAAGCUACCACACACACCCCCAAACACAUGCCCUGGCGAGCUGGGCCUGGGGGAGGAGAAGUCCCUUCCCAUUCCAGCUCGAUCAAUCUUGCUGGGCUGCGAUC